UCAGAAGUGCGAAUGCUGACAUAAGUAACGAUAAAGCGGGUGAAAAGCCCGCUCGCCGGAAGACCAAGGGUUCCUGUCCAACGUUAAUCGGGGCAGGGUGAGUCGACCCCUAAGGCGAGGCCGAAAGGCGUAGUCGAUGGGAAACGGGUUAAUAUUCCCGUACUUGGUGUUACUGCGAAGGGGGGACGGAGAAGGCUAUGUUGGCCGGGCGACGGUUGUCCCGGUUUAAGCGUGUAGGUGUGUGUUCCAGGUAAAUCCGGUUCACUUUAACACUGAGGCGUGAUGACGAGGCACUACGGUGCUGAAGCAACAAAUGCCCUGCUUCCAGGAAAAGCCUCUAAGCAUCAGGUAACAUCAAAUCGUACCCCAAACCGACACAGGUGGUCAGGUAGAGAAUACCAAGGCGCUUGAGAGAACUCGGGUGAAGGAACUAGGCAAAAUGGUGCCGUAACUUCGGGAGAAGGCACGCUGACACGUAGGUGAAGUGAUUUACUCACGGAGCUGAAGUCAGUCGAAGAUACCAGCUGGCUGCAACUGUUUAUUAAAAACACAGCACUGUGCAAACACGAAAGUGGACGUAUACGGUGUGACGCCUGCCCGGUGCCGGAAGGUUAAUUGAUGGGGUCAGCGCAAGCGAAGCUCCUGAUCGAAGCCCCGGUAAACGGCGGCCGUAACUAUAACGGUCCUAAGGUAGCGAAAUUCCUUGUCGGGUAAGUUCCGACCUGCACGAAUGGCGUAAUGAUGGCCAGGCUGUCUCCACCCGAGACUCAGUGAAAUUGAACUCGCUGUGAAGAUGCAGUGUACCCGCGGCAAGACGGAAAGACCCCGUGAACCUUUACUAUAGCUUGACACUGAACAUUGAGCCUUGAUGUGUAGGAUAGGUGGGAGGCUUUGAAGUGUGGACGCCAGUCUGCAUGGAGCCGACCUUGAAAUACCACCCUUUAAUGUUUGAUGUUCUAACGUGGACCCGUUACCCGGGUUGCGGACAGUGUCUGGUGGGUAGUUUGACUGGGGCGGUCUCCUCCUAAAGAGUAACGGAGGAGCACGAAGGUUGGCUAAUCCUGGUCGGACAUCAGGAGGUUAGUGCAAUGGCAUAAGCCAGCUUGACUGCGAGCGUGACGGCGCGAGCAGGUGCGAAAGCAGGUCAUAGUGAUCCGGUGGUUCUGAAUGGAAGGGCCAUCGCUCAACGGAUAAAAGGUACUCCGGGGAUAACAGGCUGAUACCGCCCAAGAGUUCAUAUCGACGGCGGUGUUUGGCACCUCGAUGUCGGCUCAUCACAUCCUGGGGCUGAAGUAGGUCCCAAGGGUAUGGCUGUUCGCCAUUUAAAGUGGUACGCGAGCUGGGUUUAGAACGUCGUGAGACAGUUCGGUCCCUAUCUGCCGUGGGCGCUGGAGAACUGAGGGGGGCUGCUCCUAGUACGAGAGGACCGGAGUGGACGCAUCACUGGUGUUCGGGUUGUCAUGCCAAUGGCACUGCCCGGUAGCUAAAUGCGGAAGAGAUAAGUGCUGAAAGCAUCUAAGCACGAAACUUGCCCCGAGAUGAGUUCU
rnacentral:rRNA from 1 species